UAAGGCCACGAGCUAAGGGUCAGGGCCCACCCUUUCAUCUAACUGGGUCCUGCUUGUAACAUAAUUACAAGCAGGACCCAGUUCUUUCGAGCGUCAGCUCUGAAAAUUGAGGACCAGCUAUUAGAUAGAGAGAAGGCACUGCUGGAGGCCCCCUCCGCACCAACACCGCUGAGUGGCAGUCUUGGAACAACCACCCUCAUGACUGUGGAGGGUGAGGUGGUUGAGUUAUCUGCAAUCAAGAGUGUGGGAUCAAUGAGGCAGAAGAUACCACUGAAAAUUGUGAGAAUCAAACAGGACCAGCAUAUCAUCCCACUGAGCCUUUGGCGGGAAGCGGCAGUGGUGGCUAUGGCUGUGGGGGACACACUUUCCAUAAGCCAUGUAAAGGCUUCAACAACCACCUAUGGAGCCCAACUCCAAAGCACAGCAUUGACAAAGAUCCAGACCAAAUAAGAAAUGCAAAGCUAGACCUUGAUUAUUGGAGUCAUGCAGGGGAUAAAAAGAGGAGUUUCCGUGUGCUUUUUGAAGACGGGGAAACAGCUACAAUUUCAAAUGAAAUGUGGGCUCCCUUUGAGGAACUGCUGAAAUGUGAAAAAAAUUUAUCUAAAGAUUAGGCUAGAGGGGAACAAAAUAACCGAAAUCACACAAAUCAUAUAUAUAUAUAUUAUAGUUUUAUUGACUUUAUUUAUUUGUUCCCACUAGAUGGUUUUGUGAUAUGUGGAAGAUUGAAGUUAUUUAUGAUGUAUUUAUUGAUUUAUUUACUGAUGACACAUUUAUUAAAUCUGUAUAUUGUUGGCAAUAGUCUUUUAUCUUAUAUAUUGAUAAUAUAUUCACUCUUUAUACCAUUUUUAUACCAUGCAGUAAGCUAAAUUAGCAAAGUAGCUGAAAGCAUUCUUUAUUACUGCAUUCACACUAAUAAAUAAAGAGAAACAGGAUCUCAAUAAUUGCAAA